rnacentral:rRNA from 1 species
UACGAAGGGGGCUAGCGUUGCUCGGAAUCACUGGGGCGUAAAGGGUGCGUAGGCGGGUCUUUAAGUCAGGGGUGAAAUCCUGGAGCUCAACUCCAGAACUGCCUUUGAUACUGAGGAUCUUGAGUUCGGGAGAGGUGAGUGGAACUGCGAGUGUAGAGGUGAAAUUCGUAGAUAUUCGCAAGAACACCAGUGGCGAAGGCGGCUCACUGGCCCGAUACUGACGCUGAGGCACGAAAGCGUGGGGGAGCAAACAGG